GACGGAGGGGGCAAGCGUUGUUCGGAAUUAUUGGGCGUAAAGGGCUCGUAGGCGGACGUGUGUGUCUGGCGUGAAAUCUCCACCGCUCAACGGGGAGAGGCCGCUGGAAACUGCGCGUCUGGAGUUUGGCAGAGGAAUGUGGAAUUCCGCAUGUAGCGGUGGAAUGCGUAGAUAUGCGGAAGAACACCGGUGGCGAAGGCGGCAUUCUGGGCCAAAAC
rnacentral:rRNA from 1 species